UCAGUGCUGGAACUCUUGUUUCCUAGCCAGUAAUUGAUUGCUCUUCAGAACAUUUACCGAAUUCCACAGGAGAGCAUUUCAAGCUUGCAAAGUGUUAGAUACUGGCUGAUAUAGUAACUGAGUCUUUAAUAGGCAAUUCCAGCUACAUAUGGGUAAUGAGCAAGCAGAUGUGACCAAUGCAUUUUUAUAACAUUUCCUUAUUUCUUUUUAUAGUUAAAAGGACUUUCUUGGCCAGAAGCAAUAUUGUGUGAUAUUCCAUGAGGAUGAAAAAGCCAUCUCGUAAGUCUAUGAGUCCCUUUGUUUAUGCUGAGCUGUCUGGAUCUGGGGGAGGAGUUACACAGAACAGAAGCACAGAAUCCAGCACAGCACUGGGUCUCCCUCAAGGCCCACAGUAACCAGUGCCUGGCGACUUCCUAUGAAAGCUCAAGGCCCUAGGGCUCUACAAUCAGCAAGUGGUGAAUCCAGCCAGGCUUGUGUCCUUGCUUUCAGAGUGGCAAGUUCCCAUAGUUCCCAGAGGAAGAAAUAGAGUCCUUCACCUAUAGCACAAGAGGGGCCCAUGCAGACCAUCUUCCUAUAUUGGCUGUAUGACAAGACCUGCUCUUCAUGGCACCUGUUUGAAGCCGAACUUGCUCUGCUUCUUCUCUAUGAGAGGAGAGCGUUGUUCCAUUCAGCACCUGUGUGAAUCCUGUCUUUCUUGGUGAUGCUUUCUUGGUGACUUGAUGCAGUGAGGUGACAUCCUGGGACUGCUGCUCCUGGUGGUAGGCAUUGUCAUGCUCUUUGCUGUCCUCCCUGCAGUGGACUCCUCCCCUAGAGGUGGUAAGAGGUGUCAUUUGCUUGACAAGGACCAAAAUGCCACCUAUCUGAAGAGGCCAGAGACCAAAUACUGGGACUGUUAGGUUAAUACCAAACUUCAAGAGCUAAAAAUCAAAAUUCAGCGAUAUUAUUUUUAAAAUAUAGAUAAGCAAAAAGGAAAAACUAUUUGUAAUCCUGCCACUAAAACACACCUACUAAUAGG